rnacentral:rRNA from 1 species
GAUGAACGCUGGCGGCGUGCCUAAUACAUGCAAGUCGAGCGAACGGACGAGAAGCUUGCUUCUCUGAUGUUAGCUGCGGACGGGUGAGUAACACGUGGAUAACCUACCUAUAAGACUGGGAUAACUUCGGGAAACCGGAGCUAAUACCGGAUGAUAUUUUGAACCGCAUGGUUCAAAAGUGAAAGACGGUCUUGCUGUCACUUAUAGAUGGAUCCGCGCUGCAUUAGCUAGUUGGUAAGGUAACGGCUUACCAAGGCAACGAUGCAUAGCCGACCUGAGAGGGUGAUCGGCCACACGGGAACUGAGACACGGUCCACACUCCUACGGGAGGCAGCAGUAGGGAAUCUUCCGCAAUGGGCGAAAGCCUGACAGAGCAACGCCGCGUGAGUGAUGAGGGUCUUCGGAUCGUAAAGCUCUGUUAUUAGGGAAGAACAUAUGUGUAAGUAACUGUGCACAUCUUGACGGUACCUAAUCAGAAAGCCACGGCUAACUACGUG